CGCAAGCCUGACGGAGCAAGGCCGCGUGGGGGAGGAAUGCCUCAGGGUUGUAAACCCCUUUUCUUUGGGAAGAACAGAAUGACGGUACCAAAGGAAUCAGCCUCGGCUAACUCCGUGCCAGCAGCCGCGGUAAUACGGAGGAGGCAAGCGUUAUCCGGAAUGAUUGGGCGUAAAGCGUCCGCAGGUGGCAAUGUAAGUCUGCUGUCAAAACCCAGGGCUCAACUCUGGUCAGGCAGUGGAAACUACAUAGCUAGAGUUCGGUAGGGGCAAAGGGGAUUCCCGGUGUAGCGGUGAAAUGCGUAGAGAUCGGGAAGAACAUCGGUGGCGAAAGCGCUUUGCUAGACCGAAACUGACACUCAGGGACGAAAGCUAGGGGAGCG
rnacentral:rRNA from 1 species